rnacentral:rRNA from 1 species
CAUGCAAGUCGAACGCCCUCUUUUAGAGGGAGUGGCAGACGGGUGAGUAACGCGUGGGAAACUACCUAGUGGUACGGAACAACACAGAGAAAUUUGUGCUAAUACCGUAUGUGCCCUCCGGGGGAAAGAUUUAUCGCCAUUAGAUGUGCCCGCGUUUGAUUAGCUAGUUGGUGAGGUAAUGGCUCACCAAGGCGACGAUCAAUAGCUGGUCUGAGAGGAUGAUCAGCCACACUGGGACUGAGACACGGCCCAGACUCCUACGGGAGGCAGCAGUGGGGAAUAUUGGACAAUGGGCGCAAGCCUGAUCCAGCCAUGCCGCGUGUGUGAUGAAGGCCCUAGGGUUGUAAAGCACUUUCAACGGUGAAGAUAAUGACGGUAACCGUAGAAGAAGCUCCGGCUAACUUCGUGCCAGCAGCCGCGGUAAUACGAAGGGAGCUAGCGUUGUUCGGAAUUACUGGGCGUAAAGCGCACGUAGGCGGACUAAUUAGUCAGGGGUGAAAUCCCGGGGCUCAACCCCGGAACUGCCUUUGAUACUGUUAGUCUAGAGAUCGAGAGAGGUGAGUGGAAUUCCGAGUGUAGAGGUGAAAUUCGUAGAUAUUC